UGGGGAAUAUUGCACAAUGGGCGCAAGCCUGAUGCAGCAACGCCGCGUGAACGAUGAAGGUCUUCGGAUCGUAAAGUUCUGUUGCAGGGGAAGAUAAUGACGGUACCCUGUGAGGAAGCCCCGGCUAACUACGUGCCAGCAGCCGCGGUAAUACGUAGGUGGCAAGCGUUGUCCGGAUUUACUGGGCGUAAAGGGUGCGUAGGUGGUCUUUCAAGUCGGUGGUUAAAGGCUACGGCUCAACCGUAGUUAGCCUCCGAAACUGGAAGACUUGAGUGCAGGAGAGGAAAGUGGAAUUCCCAGUGUAGCGGUGAAAUGCGUAGAUAUUGGGAGGAACACCAGUAGCGAAGGCGGCUUUCUGGACUGCAACUGACACUGAGGCACGAAAGCGUGGGUAGCAAACAGG
rnacentral:rRNA from 1 species